rnacentral:rRNA from 1 species
UACGUAGGGUGCGAGCGUUGUCCGGAAUUAUUGGGCGUAAAGGGCUCGUAGGCGGUUUGUCGCGUCGGGAGUGAAAACACCGGGCUUAACUCGGUGCUUGCUUUCGAUACGGGCAGACUAGAGGCAUGCAGGGGAGAACGGAAUUCCUGGUGUAGCGGUGAAAUGCGCAGAUAUCAGGAGGAACACCAGUGGCGAAGGCGGCUCUCUGGACCGGUUCUGACGCUCAGGCGCGAAAGCGUGGGGGAGCGAUCCGG